GGCCGCGGGAAUUCGAUUGGAUCGCCCUUAGAGUUUGAUCAUGGCUCAGGAUGAACGCUAGCGGCAGGCUUAACACAUGCAAGUCGAGGGGCAUCACGGGUAGCAAUACCUGGUGGCGACCGGCGGAAGGGUGCGUAACGCGUGAGCAACAUGCCCUAUACAGGGGAAUAAUCCAGGGAAACUUGGUCUAAUGCCCCAUAGCAAUAAGAUAAGGCAUCUUAUUUUAUUUAAAGCUUCGGUGGUAUAGGAUUGGCUCGCGUGACAUUAGCUGGAUGGGGAGGUAACGGCUCACCAUGGCAAUGAUGUCUAGGGGUUCUGAGAGGAAGGCCCCCCACACUGGGACUGAGACACGGCCCAGACUCCUACGGGAGGCAGCAGUGAGGAAUAUUGGACAAUGGAUGGAAAUCUGAUCCAGCCAUGCCGCGUGCAGGAAGACGGCCCUAUGGGUUGUAAACUGCUUUUCUACGGGAGCAAUAAGGUCUACGAGUAGACUGAUGAGAGUACCGUAGGAAUAAGCAUCGGCUAACUCCGUGCCAGCAGCCGCGGUAAUACGGAGGAUGCGAGCGUUAUCCGGAUUUAUUGGGUUUAAAGGGUGCGUAGGCGGCUUUUUAAGUCAGCGGUGAAAUUUUGCAGCUUAACUGUAACAGUGCCGUUGAUACUGAGAGGCUAGGAUUUGGUUGCUGUGGGUGGAAUGUGUGGUGUAGCGGUGAAAUGCUUAGAGAUCACACAGAAUAUCGAUUGCGAAGGCAGCUCACAAAGCCAAGAUU
rnacentral:rRNA from 1 species